GUGGGAGAUAAAGUAUACAUACUUACAAAAAAUUUGUUGCGUAGUCAAACCAUGGAUCCAGAGAAACAAGUCAAUAUCAAGAUGUGCAUGUGUGGCGAAUGAAUGGUGUAUGGUGAUGAUGGUGAAAACAAUGGUGAAAGUCUAAUUCUACUUUUGCUAUUUUGAGGAGAUACAUACCUUUCUUGCACUUUGAAGCUUUUUGAGGAGAAUGAGAUGCUCUAUAUUUUCUUUUUCUUUUCUCUCAGGUGGGUAUCUUGUAGCCCUAAUUCUACUGUCGGACACUUGUCUAUUUUUACCUCUCGUCUCACUUUUCCUUUUCUUCAAGGUUCUGGGCACUUGCCCCUUUUUAUUUCCUCAUACUCACUUUUUUUUCAAAGCACUCACCCUCCUGGAAUAAUGUAGCAAGUGGUAGUAACCAAAAUAUCUCGAGCAUUUAUUUCACGGGGAAUAACAGGGAUAUGAUAAUGUUUUUACUAUUCUCUCCUGGAUAGGAGUAGAAUAAUUUUGGGUGAAUCUGGAGAUAGAAAUGAGUGGAUGUAUGUGGAUGCGUACUUCCAGAGUAGAAGCAGCAUGUAUGAGUGAACAUGCAAGUGAAUCUUCAUUUUAACCGUAUGACAAGCUCCUAAGGGUUUACACAGCUUGACCACACUCAAUGCUCAUAAGCAGUAAAAAGUGAAUGUAUGGUUCAUAGUCUAAUAAGCAUGUAUAUAUGGCUGUGGUAGGAUUUUAAACUCUCAUCAUACAGGAACUCAUCAUGCAACAUUUUAAAGAUUUUCAAAGAUAAAAUUCUCCAGAAUUCUAGUCUCUCUAAGAACAGAUAAACAACAGCUCAACCUUCCCAUAUCAUAUCCGCUAACAACUUAGACUUUUUGAUCAGGUACUCUUCCCACAAGUUUAGGUUUAGAGCAAGCUUUAAAUUAUAAUAGUUAUGCCUAAACUUGAGAGAGAGCUCAAAUUUGAAAACUAGGUACUUGGCAGAGCAACUAUUCAUCAUAUCCAUGUAAGAGUUUAUCAUUAGAGUUCACUUUGGCAUAGACAUUUUACUUAUUUAUUUAAUAAACUAAGCAAAGAUAUAUAUAUAUAUAUGCACAAAAUAUUUAUUUGGGUUUUUAUGAUUAUACAUCUUUUUAUUAUUUGAGUAAAGUAUAAAUGCGAGUAGAAACACUUAGCUGGAUAAAUGGAGGUGCUCUCCCCCAAGCUGGAUUUUGAUGUAAUUUCUUCUGAUGUAGCUAGCAGGUGGCAGAGGUGUAUUUGAAUGUCGGCAGCACCCUGACAGCAAUUAGGAUGUCCUCCGUCUGCUAGUCUUCUUUGAUCCUUAAAUUCUAUGGAGCUCAAAUAGACAACAAAGCUUUGUGGAACUAGUUAAGUGUUAGCAUAAAUAUUUAGUCUUUAACAUGUUGAGCCCCUCAAUAAAUGUUAUUCUCUUUAGUGGGAUCACAAUCUUAUUUUUAUAUUUUCAUUUUAUAGGACAGGAAUAUAUUUAUUUUAUUUUUACGCCACCAUAGUGAAUGUACUUAUGGGUUUUAUGCCACGAGCAUACUCACAUGGGGCUUACUAGUUUUAAUAUUUUUAUUUUCUUUUCAAUAUAGCAUGAUUAACUAACAAGGAAAGUAAAUAAUUUAAGGGAAAAGGGAAUGCAGAAAGGAUAAAUAUGGAUAACUAUAGAUUUUACCUUUCGGUGAGGGUUCAAUGUUUUAUAUCUUCUGAACAAGACUUCUCACCGUGUUCAUUCUUUAGGUGCGUCAUUUGAUUCAGGUGUGGACCUUGACAUCUACACCUCUUGAUAUGGUGACACCCAUGUUCUUCGUUUGCCUAGCAUUUCGAAGUGCGGCGUUGGCAGUAUCUUGCUCAGUGUGUUUGUGCUCAUAGAUCCAGGUCUUUCACUUGGUAGAGUUUGGGAGUGGAAAAAUCCUCCAUGUUUCUCAAAAUGUGUCCUGCUCAUAGAGACAAGGCAGAGAUCAAGUGCAUGGGUCCUGUUGAUGGAAAACACCAACAGAACCAAAAGUAUAUUUAUUCUUCUCUAUCCUUAAGCGUAGGGAGCAAGACAAAGUUGAUGGGUGAUAAGUUCAUGAGUGUAGCAUUUAAAACUUUUGUCAGAUCCGAUCGCUCAACCUUAUGGAAAGAUAAUCUAUCUAUGUAUAUGUCUUUUUCUUUAUAUCUUCCCAAAUAUUGAAUGUGCAACAUUUUAGCUCAUAUGAUUAGGAGUGUGGGAUCAUGGAGGUAGUACUAGGAACAAAGAUUAAAGGACUAAACAUGUUGAAUCAGUUGGGUUGGUUAAUUUGGAGUUAUAAAUCAUACAUGUUUGUCUCUUUAUUUAUGUGAAUGCUAGAACCAAGGAGAAGCUUAUAAAAGUGAUAGUCACAUAUCUUAAGAUGUUACCUUAAUUGAAGAGUGAUGGUACCAUCUCACCUUGUGGAAGCUUCCCAUUCGUAGUGGCUGUGUAUCUUGUUUAUGUACUUUGUCUCCUUCCAUGGAUCAUCUCUCUAUGAUCAAUGAGCUAUGUCCUUCUUGUGCAAAUUGUUAAACUUGAUGUGUCUCUCUCUUUGUCUCCAAUGUGAGUUUAUCUCAGGACUUCCCAGGUCGAUAUUGAAAGUUUUCCUGCAGGGGUUAGUCCAACAAAAUAUCCAAUAUCUACUAUAGCAUACUAUCGGUUCAAAAAUCAACCUAGACACCAUGUCUAAUUUGAUUUAGGAGGGCAUUUUAACCUAAGCACCAUGCUUAAUUUAAAAUCCCUUGGAAGUAAGAUCAUCAUUCCUAAACUAAGCACCAUGCUUAUUUAAGAGAUAAAUGAAACUACUCCAAACCUAGACAUAUACUAAAGCAAAUAAAGGUAGCAUGAAAGUAUUUAUAGAGAUCUACUCAAGUGGAGAUGAAGUAGUGUGAUUAGUACUUAACAAAUUCAGCAUGUCUCAAAGGUAGGGAAAACCAACAUAGCAACAUGGCAAAGGAUGUUUUUAUGUAAAGUACUCCCCCAAGCUUGAAUUUUGCAAAAUUCAAGUUUGGAUUUAAUGCAAUGUUGUAUGAUGAUUGGUUGGACAUACCUUGUGCUUGUCAUUCAUCCAAUCUUCUUGCUCCAAUCUUGGAAAGGUUAGUGACAAGAAUACUCGAAGGAAUAUUUUUACAAUUAUCCUUAUAUGCUCAAUACACAAGGUAAUGUUGUAAAUAAUUAAAAGCUCAUGUUACGAUCUGAUCAGCGCUUAUUUUAGGACACUAAGCUUGUCCUUGGGAAACCAUCAAUUUAUGUCAGUGAAGUGGUUUCCCUUCCAACGCUGACCUAUAUCAAGAUCAACUCAAUGAGAUCUGCAAUAUUUAUUAUAGACAUAUGCAUCGACAACCGCCCUUUUAAAGUUUUUAUAAAUAGAAAGGAAGAGGGGGUUGGAGAUCUCAAAUGUGGUGAUGUUGGAGAGACCAAUAGAUUGGGAACAUGUUGAAUAUGAGCAUGGAGUAAACGAAGUGGCUAUGAAAUAAAUUCCAUGCUCAUUAAUGUUAUCUUCGUCUCCAAUCUGAAUGUUCGAAGUUUCUCCUGGAUUGGUCUCACCUGUGUCCUCUUCUAUAGUUGGAUGAAUCUCAUCUUCAAAGGGAGUCAAGAACUCACCAUUUGAAAUUGAGCCAAAGUCAGAAUCCAUUAAGGCUUCUUCCUUAUCCAUCCAUUCUACACAUUGCAACCAUUUAGAACUUGUGACCAAGACAGGGGAGCUGAUAGAAUCUUCUAUAUGGCUUAGCUCUCCUUCUAUGGCAUUACUUGACAUACCAUCCUUAUGGUCUUUAUGACUCCUAUGGUUUGAUCGUCUUGAUGGAUUGUUAGGAUCAUCAUGAGACUUAAAAGGAGAGGGAUAAGAGGGGUUUCUAAGGUCCAGGAUGGAUUUAGAAUUUGUGAACAUGGAAGGGGAGCAAAUAGAAUCUUCUAUAUGGUUUAGCUCUCCUUCACUUGAUAUGUUAUCCUUGACUUCUUCAUAACAGGAACCAGGACAUUCUCUAAGAGAACCAUUAUUGCAAUGAUUUGAAUUAUCCCUGCUUGAAGGUCUCUUAUGGAACCAGAAGUCUAAACCAUCAGCAUCUGAAAGAUUUAAGGUCGGAAUUCCUUCCUCCCUUGGAGAAUUUUGGGGUAUUGAUGGUUUAGGAUAGAUAGCUAAAGUUUGGGAUUGAAGUGGUUGUGAUCUGGCUAUCGAAACUUCUUCUUCUUGUCUAGGAACUGGUUCUUUCUCUUUCUCAGGGAUAUAAAUGCUAGGAAACUUUCCACUCAAUGAAUCAAUUAAAUCCCUAGCUUCACUAGCAGGUAGGUGAUAGAAGGAUCCUCUAGAGGCUGUAUUCAAGAUUUGCUUAUUUUCCCUACUAAGGCCCUCAAAAAAGUGAAUUAGAAGAACUUCUUCUGGAAUAGAAAGCUUUGGGCCAGUGAGAGUAAGGUUAAUAAAGCGGUCCCAUGAUUUGCCAAGAGAUUCUUCUUCUAGUUGUCUAAAAGAAAUAAUCUCACACCGAAGAUCUGGCACUUUGGAGAUUUGAAAAUAUUUAAAAAGAAAACUAUUAUAUAACUCCUUCCAAUCUCCAUGAACACUCCCUACUUUGAGUUUGUACCAAUGUCUAGCUUUUCCUGUUAAAGAGAACGGAAAGAGCUUCCAUUUAAGGGUCUGAUCGGACAUGCCUUCUACGCGAAGGAGGUCACAGACUCGAUAAAACUCUCUUAGGUGUGUGUAUGGGUUUUCCUCACCUUCUCCUAAGAAAGGUUGUUUUUGAACAAAUUCUAUGUAUUCGGGGUCUAUCUCAAAACUAGAUGUCAUGAUAGGCUUUGAAGAUUUUGGUGUUUCGAGAUGUGUGCCCGUAGGUCUAUGAAACUAAUAGAUAAACAUGUUUGCAUUCAAGAUAGACCAGAAAUCAAGGAUUAGAUAAGAAGAAAGAAUAGUAGAGAUGAGGCAAAGGAUAAAAGGAAAUAUAUUUUUUUUUUAUUUUUUAGAAAACGAUUAAGCUAGUUCGUAGUCAACUCAGCAACCGUUUCCCCAGCAACGGUGCCAAAAAGCUUGUUUACACUUGCUAACACCACUUGAAUACUAGGUUGUCAUCCCCAGCAUGGCACUAGAGUGUACUAUGUGUUGGGUAUUCUUAACAUCACUACCAAAAGUAGACAGUUUUCUAAUUCUGAUAACGGUGCCAAAAAUGUUAAACCUAUCCCUCACACCACUUAAGCCAAGUUGUCAUCCCCAGCAUGAUAUGAGAGACGCGGUAUUGAAAUAUGCAAUUGCUCUUCUAAAUAAAUAAUGAAUGAGAUCUACAAGCGCAUAGAUUAAUACCGAUGUAGCAUUUUAACCGGGAAGUAUUCCAAGUAUCGUUAUUUAUAUUUUUACCACUGGGAAGGGAUUAGCAGCCAUCAAUAUUGUUUAUAGAAAAGAAUAUGAGAUUGAGUAUCUAUCAUUGCAUGUAUAAUUGAGAACAUUUAUCUAACUCUUUCAUACAGGGGUAAGUGUCACAUAAAGGAUAUAAAGUAAUGAAUGGUGACAAAGAUAAUUAAUCUGAUCAACAUAACUUAGCCACAUAAUAAAUAUGAUAACCACCUCAAUUAGAUAUUCUAGCAAGUCAUUAGCAUGGUAUUAGAACGAACUACAAGAAUAUUUCCUCAGUUAUUCUCAACUAUAUAGUCUAGCAUUAUCAUAGUUAGUGCAAGCAUACUUAGCAAUCAUUGUGAGACAAGACUACGCCCAUGUAUAGUGAUAUUAGCAAGGAAUAUGAGAAACAUAGCAAUCACUCUCCUGUAAUAAUGUUGCUCUGCCAGCCCAAUACACGAGAGGGGGACUAUAUAAGAAUCAAUGAAGCUGUCACUAUCACGAACUACCCCACGAUCUGGCAUAUUGGGUACAAUCGCAGAUAAAUACGGUAUAAGCACCACACCUACACAAUAUCUAUCAUUUACCCAUGGAUCCAAUGGAUAAACGCUAUACGAUCCUAAACAUGUAUAUAGAUCCAAUCUAACUAAGCCAAGUAUAUAACUAUGAUAGACUAAGAAAAAUAUAAUCUUGAAUAUAAACAAGUAGAGCAAAGUCAUAGGAAAUAUAUUGAAGUAGAACAAAGUCAUAUUCACAAUAUUGAAAAACAAAGAUGAACAAUUAGAAGAACAAUUAGGGAAUUACCAAGAAUCCUCUUGAUAGAUCCGGAAACCAAUCGAAGAUUGACUCCUUCUAGUUCUAAUCCUAUGUAGCUAUGCUAAUCUAGAUGUCUAAUUGAUGUGGUGGCUCUAGGCUUGAUCAGAGGCUUCUCCCUUGAGGAAUAAUGAAUUAGGGUUGAGAGGCUCUCUCCUCCAGGGGCCAGGGGGUCUAGUUUUAUAGUCCCUCCAAGUGAAUAUGGGCCGUCAGAUCAAACCGACAUUGAUUAAACGAUUAUCCUUGAUCCUUUAGGUCGGUGGAGAUUGAUCCCGAAAGAGUCCUGUUUGGACUCCAGGAGGGGGCCGGCGCCCUGGUCUCCUGGGCGGGCGCCCAGGGCCAGGCCCCGUUCGGCCUCCGCUUCCUUCCCAUGGCUUCUGGAGUCUUCUAGAUGUAAGAUAAUUGCGCGGCACAUUGAUAUCUCUAUGUAAUCCCGACGUGUGGGCCUUUCUUCCAUAUUUUCUGAUAACCCCCUAUAGAAAUAGACAAACACCAAAACUCGUGGAAUUCUGUCAGAUAAAACCCUAAGUCUGGAUGUUGAUUUCAUUUGGAUCCUUUUCUUUGUUUAUUUGAUAAUUACAUUUGAUACUUGAGGACCGUCAAUAAACUCCCCCAAGCUUACCUCUUGCUCGUCCCUGAGCAAGGAUAGACUCAGUAAUGGAUCAGAAGUUGUUGCAAUACCUUUAAAUGUUGACGGUACACAUGCUUUUAAAUAAGGUCUCAUCUUUGAGUUAGGGUAAAUUGUCAAGACUUAAAACUUACUUACUUUACCUUUCACCAUGGGACUUGUAACCGUCUCUUCUGUCUUGAGUAGUUAACAGAUAGAACGGUCUAGUCAAGUGCUAUGUCUCUUAUUCUUGAUCAGCUAUAGCUCUGAAGUUUUUGUAGAUUUUCAAAUAAAACUCAGAGAUUCCUUGUAUGACUCUCUCAGAUCUCUCUUUUGUGGUAUUUCUAGAUCCCUACCAAGGCAGUGAUGGUAUAUGCCUUCUCUCAAAAUAUGUGGUAUUUGUGGUAUAAGGCAUAAUGACAUUGCCUUCUCCCUCACCCUACUCUAAUAAGGCUUUAAUAUCUGGAGCUCAUAGGUGGGAGAUAAAGUAUACAUACUUACAAGACAUUUAUUGUAUAGUCAAACCAUGGAUCCAAAUAAACAAAUCAAUAAGUCAAAUCAAGAUGUGCAUGUGUGGCGAAUGAAUGGUGUAUGGUGAUGAUGGUGAUAACAAUGGUGAAAGUCUAAAUCUUUUGCUCUUUGAGGGGAUACAUACCUUCCUUGCUCUUUGAAACUUUGUGAGGAGAAUGAGAUGCUCUAUAUUUUAUUUUCUCUCAGGUGGGUAUCUUGUACCCCUAAUUCUACUGUCGGACACUUGUCCAUUUUUACCUCUCAUCUCACUUUUUCUUUUCUUUCGAGGUUCCGGGCACUUGCCCCUUUUUAUUUCCUC
rnacentral:lncRNA from 1 species